GAUGAACGCUGGCGGCGUGCCUAAUACAUGCAAGUCGAGCGAACGGACGAGAAGCUUGCUUUUCUGAUGUUAGCGGCGGACGGGUGAGUAACACGUGGAUAACCUACCUAUAAGACUGGGAUAACUUCGGGAAACCGGAGCUAAUACCGGAUAAUAUUUUGAACCGCAUGGUUCAAAAGUGAAAGACGGUCUUGCUGUCACUUAUAGAUGGAUCCGCGCUGCAUUAGCUAGUUGGUAAGGUAACGGCUUACCAAGGCAACGAUGCAUAGCCGACCUGAGAGGGUGAUCGGCCACACUGGACCUGAGACACGGUCCAGACUCCUACGGGAGGCAGCAGUAGGGAAUCUUCCGCAAUGGGCGAAGGCCUGACGGAGCAACGCCGCGUGAGUGAUGAAGGUCUUCGGAUCGUAAAACUCUGUUAUUAGGGAAGAACAUAUGUGUAAGUAACUGUGCACAUCUUGACGGUACCUAAUCAGAAAGCCACGGCUAACUACGUG
rnacentral:rRNA from 1 species